UUUCUGUAGUUGAAUUACAACGAUGAUUUUUCAUGUCAUUGGUCGCAGUUGAAUGCUGUGUAGAAAUAA
rnacentral:tRNA from 1 species